rnacentral:rRNA from 1 species
UACAGAGGUCUCAAGCGUUGUUCGGAUUCAUUGGGCGUAAAGGGUGCGUAGGCGGCGCGGUAAGUCGGGAGUGAAAGCCCGGGGCUCAACCCCGGAACGUCUUUCGAAACUGCCGAGCUAGAGUGCGGAAGGGGCAACUGGAAUUCCCAGUGUAGCGGUGAAAUGCGUAGAUAUUGGGAAGAACACCUGAGGCGAAGGCGGGUUGCUGGGCCGACACUGACGCUGAGGCGCGAAAGCCAGGGGAGCGAACGGG